UUAUUAAACAUAGAUCUUCUCAUUAUAAAACUACUAUUGAAUUGACAAAAAAAAAUAUAUAUAUAUAUAUAUAUAUCGCCAAUAAGCUCUUCUCUCUCUCACCACCUCUUUUCCUGAGAGAGAAAUUAAGUUCCGACAGAUCCUUCCAUGGUUGCUACCGGUGUGAAGCGGACUUCGUCGGAAGUGUAUGGCGAAGAUUAUUUGUCAGAAGAUGGAGUUGGGAUGGGGAUGAGGGCUCCUACUUCUCUUUGAAGAAAUUGAUGGACGACUCAAGACUAUUACUCAGUUAGCGUCGGUGCUCAUGUGGAAGGAGAUUUCGUGAUGUUUGGUAUGCUCGCCGGCGGCGUUAAAGAAAUUCUAUUCUUCAGCACCGUUUGUAACAUGUGUUUUAAGACGUGGCUUCAUUUUACUAAGCCUUAUCAGCUUCUGAUGGGUUUCUUAUAGGCGUACGUUGCAAAACGUAGUUGGGCUUGAACAUCACCAUCUGUAAUCUUUGGGUUUUUCCAUUAGUGUAAAAGGCUACAAAAAAUGUAUAUCUUCUCAUCUGAACGCAGUAGCCGACUAAUCUCGCUCAAUCUAUAUAACUAUCUCUCAACCUCUUUCCCUUUAACUCCAUCAAUGUCUGCUUUUGUAGGAAACCCAUCACUUAAUCUAACUGAAAACUAGAAAGAUAAGUUUUUAACCUCUCCUCCAAUUCUUCAAUCAAAAGAAAGCUUGAUUUUUUCCUCUGUUAUGAAAAUUGGGUUAUUAAAUCAUCUGUGUUUUAACAGGAUAGUGGAAGGAUCUUCUCUCUUUACCUCCCUCUUGAAAGUUGGUCAAACUAUUAUCUAAUGACAAAAUAUUCCACUGUAAAGAAGACAGAAUGAGAAGAUGACUCGAGAAGCCCAUUGGUAUACCACCACUAGAACCGAUACACAUCCAAUCUUGGAUCUUCAGAUUUUGAGACAAGAAAACUCGCCCAAAAGUUUCUACAUACAUUAGGAAACAAACACCUGAUGAUUUUUAAAAUGAUUCUACCAUGGAAAUGAUUUUAUCAAAACCUUAACAGUCUCUUGGAUAUAUAAAAAGAACAAUAAUGACCAUUCCAAAGAGCUCAUGUAAUUUUGGUAUAUCUAAAUUCGGGAAAUAAUGUUUCAUGCGUUUAACAUUACAAGAAUGAUAAGCAAAACAAGUGUCCAAACACACACCCUCUCAACUCUAGAAAACGAUUACCAGUCCAAUGAUGUUUGGAUUUCCUUUUUUCUUUUGUCAACCUCAUAUGCUUGGGUUUCCAAAAGUAGAUUACAUGAAAUUUUAUAAAUAUUAAUCUUACAACAAACAAAUGAAAAAAAAAUAAGAUAGAAAGAGAGACUACCACAAAAUUGUUUACUUACAAAAAGAAAUAAAAAAAACAUUAAAUCAAAACAUAAAGAAAAUACAUAAAUUUGAGAGUGAAACAUGGCAGCGUUAAGUUACAGAAAAUUCAUUAUGUGUUUGACUCAAGUUUAAGUUAGUUUUUAUGAGUUAUGUGAUGUUUCAGAUUGUGCCUGAAAUAAACUAUUAUUGGGCUAUUACGUAAUGGAGACUCAGACGUUCCAGUUUCAAGAUCAUCGCCAGCAAAGUGGUUACUCUUAAUACCACCACCAUAAAAUCUCAGAGGGUGCUUUGUUUAGUGACUGUGAAAUAGCACUCGUGUCUUAUCCCAUAUAUUACGCCAUUUACUGACAGUUUUCUAUAGAUUACAUGGUUAAGUUAUCACUAAUUUAUAUAUUUUUAAUUUUAAAAAUUUACAUGUUCAUUCUACUUUAAUUAUAAUAAAAAGUAAAAUAAAAUAAGAGUUCUACAAAAAUAUGUUAAAACAUAAAUGAUGGAUUAUUUAUCGGCUUUAUACAUUUAUAAUAGUUAUGAUAAAAGUUCACUAGAAACUUCAUACAUAUUGUCUUACCAAUACUAAGAGGUAAGAGAGAUGUGUUAGGCACCAUGUAUUAGUGCCAGUACAUUUUGAAGAAAAACAUACAUUAGCUUUACACUAAUCACUACGUUUUUAAAAAAGUUUAAAUGGAGCCGGCUAAAGUAUUGUAAAAGAUGAUUAACGAAUAUAAGCAAGUGGUCAAACCGAAAUAGUAACUAACAUAUUAUAUGCCUUCGCAUCAUAAACUGCAUUCAAUUAUCUAACAUAUCUAGCUCAUACAAUUUUCAUCAACAACAAAUAAAACUUGGACUUUAUGAAAGAACUAUCGAGGCAUGUAAAAAAAAAAUCCCGUAAUAGCCAAAGUAAUUUCAUGUAUCUAAUGCAAAUAGUCAAUUCUUAACAUUGAACUUAUGUUACACUACUAUAGCACAUUUCACUAAAUCAUCCUAAAAUCUUUUUUCAUAUCUACUAUUGUAUAGACUACUAAUCUCAAAAAGUCUAAUAAUUAGGACAUACUAGCAGACCCACCCACUCUUACAAAUAUGUUAAUUCAUAGUAUUUCUCAAAUUUAAACAUUACGUUUUUAAAACUUAAAUGAAUACUCUAAAUAUUAACAGGUAACCAGUUUUUUUUGUAUUUAAUCUCACCAUCUCUCGAAAUCACUCAUACAAGAAUAAAUUAUCCCCUUAUUUGGUCCAACAACAAUCAACUUAUGUGAAUAAAAUUUAAAAAAACUAAGAAUAUUCACAUAAUUAAUAAAUUCAAAUACAAACAAAAAAACCUUCCAAAAGUAUAUUUUAAACAAAAAAUCCAUCAAAUCUCGCGCGUAGCGCGGACGGACCCUAGUAUUUUAUACUUCAGAGAUUCAAUGAGAGAUGUUACGCCGCGCGUGCUCUUAGUAGUAAGUAGAGAGAUAAAGUCAGACCCUGAACCUUCAUAUUAAAUGGAUGAAGCUAGCAAAACGAUUCGUCAUAUUUAAAUCUAUUCACCAACAGUUGUCAAGAUUUAAGAUUUUUUCAUAUUAAACUGCAUUGAAAUGAGGGCAGAAAACAUAGUUGGAUUAUCAUCCCUGAAGCUAGCAAAACAAUUGUCACCAACAGUUGUCAACCUUUAACUCAUUUGAUGUAAGUGUCUAGGACUGGGCAUCAUUAUUCAUCGGAGGAAUCAGACUGUUGAUAUGAAAAUGAAAUAGAAAUGAAUAUUAUGCAAAGGAAAAGAAAUGAAGGAACUUAUUAUUUUGCAGCCAAGGUAACACAGUAUCUUAGCAACAAUAUAUGAUCAGGUUUAUAUAUAAAACCCUAGUUACAUGACGAACUCUUCUUCUUCUUCCGUAUAUAAGCAUCUUAGCAGCAUGUAUAUAAGCAUCUUAGCAGCAUAUAUAUAAGCAUCUUACUUCUUAGCAUUGAAACUCUUGUGGGCUUCAAUCUUCAAUCAUCCGCUGGUCUUGCUGCGUCCGGAGUUGCUUCAGGACGAUGAGGGAGUAAACCGAAAGCGAAGAAGAAGCAUGCGGGACCCGAAUCCUUCUUCCGGCGGUAGCUGAGCCAUAAAACUACCGCCACGAGAGCGAGGACGAAUAACAUAGCAAUAAUAGCUGCUAGAACCACGAAUCUAACGGAGUAGAUGAUCUCAAAAUUUAAAGGCAUUUUGUAAAAUGAAAUAGUUUGGAAUAUAAUGAAUUGUUUAUUCUCAUAGCGCUUGGUAUUUAUACAUAGUAAUGACCCUAAGGUGAUAAGGACUCAAAAGUAAAUUAUAAUAACCUGGCAAGCAGAAAUUCCUGAAAUUUCUUACAAGUUAAAUUUAUAUUAUUUUAAAUACUACAAUUAUGUUGCUAGAAUUAUAAUUAUUCUAUAAUCAUCCAAUAAUUAUUUUUAAAUCAUCCAAACUAAAAUAUAUGUUAAAUUUAAAAUUUAAAAUAGUUAUAUAUAUUUUUAACUAAGUUUCAAUUAUAUUUUGAAUAUGAUUUUACUUAUUAAAUUUAUAAAAAUUAUUAAAAUGACUAAUUUGAAUUAUGAAAAAUAAUUAGUAAUAUAAAAUUGUAUGUUUAAAAUGAUUUUCAAUUGUAUUUUGAAUACAAUGUUAUAUCUUUUAUUUAUAAAGCUAAGGCUAUGUAAAUCUACAAUUCGACAUGCGUAGAUUUAGCAUAUGAUAAACAUUUACACAUGCAAUGUAAAAAUCAGUUGUUAAUGUUUCCGUGUUUACUGAUUUAUUUGUUAGUUGCGUGUGUAUAUAAGUAAAUAUAUUAAAUUGCGUGUGUAUAUGACAUAUAUGUAUACAUUAAUUCUUAUGGUAAUGUUUGAUGUUCUCUGCACUUUCCUUUUUCAUUUUUACUUUUCGUUUUCUUCUUAUUUUUAGAUUGAAUUUGGUGGAAAUCCAUAAAGGAUUGUUAAAUUAGAAAUCUAACUUUUUGGAAUGCACAGUGUUGGUCGGAUAGGCAAAACUACAUUUUCAUCCUUUUGUUAAUUUACUGGCUGUUUAGGCAACUAGAACUAUAGAUAUGUAUGUAGUUUUCUUAAAUUGUAUAUACAUCUUUUCUAUUUCUUCAAAUUUUUCGUUUCUUUGUAUUUCUCUCUGUUCUUUCCUAGUUGCACUCUCUAAAUUGUAUCCAUGUCUUCGUCAAUCAUCACCUACUACAACAAUAGAAGCAAUCAAGAUUUGAUACUUUAAUUUUCUUCUAUUUCUUAUAUUUCUUUUGAUCAUAUUCAAAAACCCCAAAAAAAUUGUUCCCUGAGCGUAUUAAAUCUACGCUCUAGGAGGCCUAUUCAUCAAACCUCCAUGUCUUUGUAGCUUGCGUUUCAGAUGAGGAAGAGCCGGUGAGGAGACAGACAAAUGCAACUGUGAUUGAUAUAGCAAUUUUUUUCCAUUUAAACCAAAAAUCUCAUAUCUAGUUGACUCGGUGAGUUAUGAAGGUUUUUCUUCUUUCUUUGAUUAUUUUAUGUUUUUGCCGCUCGGAUGCAUCUCUCAUAUAACCUAUUUUCAGUAAAUCUUACAAAAUUAUCACAAGGGGAUUUUUUUUGUGGUUGAUGAUGAUGACGGUGAAACAAUAUUGGGUAGGGAGAUAGCUUUGAUGAACACACCAGUUGCAAUCAUAACACAAAUGAGGGUUUCUAUAAAACAAUAUAUUGACAUUCUUUUUUUUUUUGU